UUCCUCAACUCUGCUGUCUGGACCAGGGACUUGGUGUCAAAGGCAAUGUCUCAGAAGAAACCUCAUGCAACACAGUGACAAUAUCAGCCCUGGAGACCCUAUCUCUGGACUCUGGGCACAAUGAGUAACGAAGCCAAAACACUGGAGAAUACGUUUAUGCAUUCAA